AGCAGCGUGGCUCAGUGGAAAGAGCAUGGGCUUUGGAGUCAGGGCUCAUGAGUUCGAAUCCCAGCUCUGCCACUUGUCGGCUGUGUGACUGUGGGCAAGUCACUUAACUUCUCUGUGCCUCAGUUCCCUCAUCUGUAAAAUGAGGAUUAAGACUGUGAGCCCCACGUGGGACAACCUGAUUCCCCUAUGUCUACCCUAGCGCUUAGAACAGUGCUCGGCACAUAGUAAGCGCUUAACAAAUACCAAUAUUAUUAUUAUUACUAAUCUAGUGUCUUCUUUCUCCUUAAGAUGCCAGAGGAACAUUAUACAGGUACGUACAUGUUCUGUGCUCCUCUUGGACGAUCCAAGAAAUGAAGGACCAAGGAGUCCACGUGCAACAUGGGGUUUCUUGGGACUUUUUGGAAGCGCACAAAGGAAUUCUUCCACGUGACAUGCUGAGACCUGAGAUUGAAGAGAAUUAUGACUGACUCUUUGCUCUCUCCAGAAGUGUGUCAGUGCUGCAGCAAUGGCCAAAGGCCACCAUGUCCUUGGAAGUGACUGCCUGCUGGAUCCCUUGGAUGAGAGAAAUAUUCGGCAGAUAUUCAGUGUACAUGACCCUGGACUCAAACGGCCAAUCCCCAUUUUGUCGUGCCACAGGAUCGCAAAAGUUUGACAUUCGUGGAGGCCCCGCAGGAUGGGCCCGACCAACAGGGCCGAUUCGAAAAUUGUAGCUGCGUUUUUCGGCUCCCCAGUGUUCAUGUAGGGGCGGCACUACUGGGAGAUGGAGGUGGGAGACAGGCCAGAGUUGGAGGUGGCAGUGUGUUUCGAGUCGAUGAACAUGAAGAACAAUGUGCCAGUUGCCCCAGGGACACCUUUUCACUGAUGGCCUUCCAGUCAAUAAGUGGGGGUAGUUUCUGAAUCACCU
rnacentral:lncRNA from 1 species